UAAUGGCAGGUCAGCAUACUGCCGUGAAUACGUUCCCGGGCCUUGUACACACCGCCCGUCACACCAUGAGAGUUGGGGAUACCCGAAGCCUGUGAGCUAACAUUAUGAGGCAGCAGUCGAAGGUAGAAUCAAUGAUUGGGGUGAAGUCGUAACAAGGUAAC
rnacentral:rRNA from 1 species